rnacentral:rRNA from 1 species
CGGCUUCCUACGGGAGGCAGCAGUGGGGAAUAUUGGACAAUGGGCGCAAGCCUGAUCCAGCAAUGCCGCGUGUGUGAAGAAGGCCUGAGGGUUGUAAAGCACUUUCAAUUGUGAAGAAAAGUUUAAGGUUAAUAGCCUUAGACCCUGACGUUAACUUUAGAAGAAGGACCGGCUAACUCCGUGCCAGCAGCCGCGGUAAUACGGAGGGUCCGAGCGUUAAUCGGAAUUACUGGGCGUAAAGCGUACGUAGGUGGCUUGAUUAGUCGGAUGUGAAAGCCCUGGGCUCAACCUGGGAACUGCAUUCGAUACUGUCUGGCUAGAGUAUAGUAGAGGCAAGUGGAAUUCCGGGUGUAGCGGUGAAAUGCGUAGAUAUCCGGAGGAACACCAGUGGCGAAGGCGGCUUGCUGGACUAAUACUGACACUGAGGUACGAAAGCGUGGGGAGCAAACAGGAUUAGAUACCCCGGUAGUCCAAGCCG